UGAGCAGGCCAGAUGAUCGCGGCUGCAAUACCCGAAAGGGUGCAGGUGAGGAAAGUCCGGGCUUCACAGGGCAGGAUACCGGAUAACGUCCGGCGGAGGUGACUCCCGGGAUAGUGCAACAGAGAUAUACCGCCAACUUUUGUUGGUAAGGGUGGAAAGGCAGUGUAAGAGACUACCGUGCGGGUGGUAACAUCCGUAGCCAUGUAAACCCUAUCCGAAGCAAGACCGAAUAGAAAGCUAUGGGCCGGCCCGGUCCGCUUUCAGGUGGGUCGCUUGAAACGUUUGGUAACAGGCGUUCUAGAUAGAUGAUCAUCCUAGACAUAACCCGGCUUACAGGCCUGCUCUUCUA
rfam:Butyrivibrio fibrisolvens DSM 3071 genome assembly, contig: EJ22DRAFT_scaffold00009.9